rnacentral:rRNA from 1 species
AUUGAACGCUGGCGGCAGGCCUAACACAUGCAAGUCGAGCGGUAGCACAGAGAGCUUGCUCUCGGGUGACGAGCGGCGGACGGGUGAGUAAUGUCUGGGAAACUGCCUGAUGGAGGGGGAUAACUACUGGAAACGGUAGCUAAUACCGCAUAACGUCGCAAGACCAAAGUGGGGGACCUUCGGGCCUCAUGCCAUCAGAUGUGCCCAGAUGGGGUUAGGUGGUAGGUGGGGUAACGGCUCACCUAGGCGACGAUCCCUAGCUGGUCUGAGAGGAUGACCAGCCACACUGGAAGUGAGACACGGUCCAGACUCCUACGGGAGUGAGCAGUGGGGAAUAUUGCACAAUGGGCGCAAGCCUGAUGCAGCCAUGCCGCGUGUGUGAAGAAGGCCUUCGGGUUGUAAAGCACUUUCAGCGGGGAGGAAGGCAUUAAGGUUAAUAACCUUAGUGAUUGACGUUACCCGCAGAAGAAGCACCGGCUAACUCCGUGCCAGCAGCCGCCGUAA